UACAGAGGGUGCAAACGUUGUUCGGAUUUACUGGGCGUAAAGCGCGUGUAGGCGGCUUGGCAAGUCGGAUGUGAAAGCCCACGGCUCAACCGUGGAAGCGCAUCCGAAACUGCUUCGCUCGAGUCUCGGAGAGGAAGGUGGAAUGCCUGGUGUAGAGGUGAAAUUCGUAGAUAUCAAGCAGAACACCUGCGGCGAAGGCGGCCUUCUGGACGAUGACUGACGCUGAGACGCGAAAGCGUGGGGAGCAAACAGG
rnacentral:rRNA from 1 species